UCUCCGUAGGUGAACCUGCGGAGGGAUCAUUACAGAGUUCAUGCCCUACCGGGUAGAUCUCCCACCCUAUGUUAUUAUUACUUCGUUGCUUUGGCGGGCCGUUAGGCUCCGGCCCGACUACCGGCCCCGGCUGGUAAGCGCCCACCAGAGGACCCAAAACCCUGAAUAUUAGUGUCGUCUGAGUACUAUAUAAUAGUUAAAACUUUCAACAACGGAUCUCUUGGUUCUG
rnacentral:misc_RNA from 1 species